CUUCCUUCUUCUUUCUUUCUUCUUCUUCUUCUUCUUCAAAAAAAGAGAAAACUGCAUUUUCAAGUGGAAUUUGGAGGUUUAGAAUCCAUUUUUUAUCUUAAUCUUCAUCUACAAAGGCUUUAGAGGUUUAUUUGCUAAACCAAUUUGGAAUGAGGGUGACACCCAAGUAAGCUCAAGCAAAGGAAAGGGAGCAACAAAGGAUUAGCAGAAUUAUAAUUGGUUUUGACGAAACAUUUACAUCUGUCGCACUAGCAUUGUGUCAGGAUGAGUAGAGAGGGGCUGACCGAGAAUCCUGCUAACCUAAGUGAGUCUGAGUCUGUGCAUGGAGUUGAGCAUAUAAAUGCACCACAACAACCAACUCAGGAAUUGCCACUGGUAAUGCAGCAAUUUCUUGAGUCUUUGCAGCAAAUAGUUAAUCGGGUAGCCACUCAGCCAAUCCAACAACCAAUAAUGCAACCGAUGGCAGAAGUUAAAGAAACAGAGGCUAAAGAUAAAACUUACGAUAGGCUGAGAAAACAAGGAGCUACAGAGUUUGAGGGGAUCACUGAUCCUGAGAUAGCAGAAGAAUGGUUACGGGAGACAGAAAGGGUGCUGGACAGGCAAGAUUGCACACCAGAGCAAAGUUGAAAUAUGUUGUAUCUUUGUUGAGAAGAUAAGCUUUAGAUUGGUGGGAUAUGCUUCCAGGAAGUAAAAAUAGACCUAUGACCUUUACUUGGGAUGACUUCCUUAGGGAAUUUACAAAUAAAUACACACCACCAACGUAUAGAGAUCGAAAGAAAAUGGAGUUUUUGAGCUUAGAACAGGGAUACAUGACAGUAUCAGAAUAUGAAAUGCAAUUCUCUUGAUUAUCAAAAUAUGCGUUAGAAAAAGUGGCUACAGAGGAUGCAAAACAAAGACGGUUUGAAAAAGGAUUGAGAAUGGAUAUUCGGGAAAAGAUUUCCUUAAAGCCACCAAGUUACAGUACUUUAUUAGAGGCUGCAUUGAGAGUAGAAGAAUGUUUGAUUGAGAAAGAUGCAAUGACAGCUAAGAAAAGAAAGAUGAUAAAUGAAUAUGGUGGUUCAUAAAGGAAAAGAAGAGACAUUUCUUUUAGAGGUUGUGGGUCUCAAGGGAGUAGAUAUUAUGGAAGAGGGGUUAGCUAGCAAAAUAUGAGUAAGUCUACUACAGUAAUAUCGGGUAGAGGCGGACGAAGUGGUUACAACCAGAGUAGGGUAGAGAGUAAGAGAGGUGAGGGAGGUGUUUCAGUUAGUCGAGGAUAUAUUUCACCAUGUGCUAGAUGUAAUAGGUUUCACCGUGGGGAGUGUUGGGGACCAAGGCAGAUACUUUGUUUUUAUUGUGGUAAGCCGAGGCAUAUAGCCAAAGAUUGUUGGAGUAAAAAUCGAGCUAGUGAAAGUCAAGUUUCAGGACAGAGCAGCAUAGGUGAAAAUAUGACUCAGGGAGGAGUAAGUAGAGGAAGAGGUAAAGGAAUGGCACGAGGAGGUUCUAACCUGGUACAGGCUGGACAGAUAGGUCAACCUUAGCAAUCACUGCCCUAAGCUAGAGUGUAUGCAGUGACAAGACAAGAAGCACCUUCUACAACUGAUAUUGUGACUGGUAAAAUCUCUAUUUAUGGUUUUGAUGCUUAUACGUUAAUUGAUCCAGUAUCAACAUGUU